CCUACGGGAGGCAGCAGUGAGGAAUAUUGGUCAAUGGACGAGAGUCUGAACCAGCCAAGUAGCGUGAAGGAUGACUGCCCUAUGGGUUGUAAACUUCUUUUAUAUGGGAAUAAAAUGUUCCACGUGUGGGAUUUUGUAUGUACCAUAUGAAUAAGGAUCGGCUAACUCCGUGCCAGCAGCCGCGGUAAUACGGAGGAGCCGAGCGUUAUCCGGAUUGAUUGGGUUUAAAGGGAGCGUAGGUGGAUUGUUAAGUCAGUUGUGAAAGUUUGCGGCUCAACCGUAAAAUUGCAGUUGAAACUGGCAGUCUUGAGUACAGUAGAGGUGGGCGGAAUUCGUGGUGUAGCGGUGAAAUGCUUAGAUAUCACGAAGAACUCCGAUUGCGAAGGCAGCUCACUGGACUGCAACUGACACUGAGGCUCGAAAGUGUGGGUAUCAAACAGGAUUAGAUACCCGUGUAGUC
rnacentral:rRNA from 1 species